AGCGAACGCUGGCGGCAGGCUUAACACAUGCAAGUCGAACGGGCACCUUCGGGUGUCAGUGGCAGACGGGUGAGUAACACGUGGGAACGUGCCCUUUGGUUCGGAACAACUCCGGGAAACUGGAGCUAAUACCGGAUAAGCCCUUCGGGGAAGGAUUAUCGCCAAAGGAUCGGCCCGCGUCUGAUUAGCUAGUUGGUGAGGUAAUGGCUCACCAAGGCGACGAUCAGUAGCUGGUCNGAGAGGAUGAUCAGCCACACUGGGACUGAGACACGGCCCACGACUCCUACGGGAGGCAGCAGUGGGGAAUAUUGGACAAUGGGCGCAAGCCUGAUCCAGCCAUGCCGCGUGAGUGAUGAAGGGCCCUA
rnacentral:rRNA from 1 species